rnacentral:rRNA from 1 species
CGGGCAAGACCGGUGCCAGCCGCCGCGGUAACACCGGCGGCUCGAGUGGUGACCGUUAUUAUUGGGUCUAAAGGGUCCGUAGCUGGCUUAAUAAGUUCCUUGGGAAAUCUGGCGGCUNAACCGUCAGGCUGCUGAGGAAUACUAUUAGGCUCGAGACCGGGAGGGGCUANAGGUACUUCNGGGGUAGGAGUGAAAUCCUGUAAUCCUUGAGAGACCACCNNUGNCNAAGGCGUCUAG